rnacentral:rRNA from 1 species
UACAGAGGUCUCAAGCGUUGUUCGGAAUCACUGGGCGUAAAGGGUGCGUCGGCCGCACGGUAAGUCAGAGGUGAAAUCCCGGAGCUCAACUCCGGAAAUGCCUCCGAUACUGCCGUGCUUGAGGACUGGAGAGGAGUCUGGAAUUCACAGUGGAGCAGUGAAAUGCGUAGAUAUUGUGAGGAACACUAGUGGCGAAGGCGAGACUCUGGACAGUUCCUGACGCUGAGGCACGAAGGCCAGGGGAGCAAACGGG